UAAAUUAUUUUUCAUAAAAUAAAUAUAAUAUUAAAUUUAAAACAGCAGUUCCCCCGCGAGGGUAGAACUUAAUAAUAGGGCCCUCUGGCCGUUACACUGCCCCAACAGAGCUUCCUCCAUCCCGCCAAUCGAGAAUGAUAUCAGCAAUGAAGGUUUUAUGGGGUUUCCAAACUCGAAGGAAGUAGUAGUUAUUUCUGUUGAAGGGGCAUCUGCAUCUCCUUUAAAUUUUGCAGUUGCAAUGGCUUAGGAGCAGGACCUCCUUUCUUCUGCGACAUCUGUCUACGACUCUUUUGGAGUUCUAAGAGAACACAUCAUUCAAAUUUAAUUUCCAGAUCAACUUAAUUAAAGAAAAACUAACCACCCCAUUAAUUAAAUUCGCUGAUUUCCAUUUUAAUUUUGUGGUAAAUGGAAACUCCUUGAAUUUUGAUGCCAAGUUCAGAAAUUCUUCAACCCUCUUCCACAGAUAUAUAAUUUUCAUAAUGUAAAUUUCAUAAAGGUACUAAGACUGCCAAAAAAAUACACAUUUUGCAUAAUAGCUGUGAGCUAUCAAUCUAUCAUUCUAAGAUCAUGGCUGCAUUACAGAAUCCCAGCCAUCCAUCCUUACCAAAAUGUCCAGCAGUGCUCCUUGUGCUGUUUCUGAUCGUAAUUUACACACACCAUUGGCAUCUGCUGUUUCAACAGAUGACAAAUUACUACACUUCAGCCAAGAAAUUAUAAUACAAAACAUGCCCUGAGCGAUACUGGUUGGCGGGAGUAUCAUGUUUAUAUUGCUGUGUGGCAUUACAGGGCCCAUCCAAUGCAUACAGCAAUCUCUCAGUUUCUCAACUCACUCAGACAAACAGAAAAGUAGUAGGAAAAAUGAUUGCUUACCAUUGUUUCAGCCGUCCAUCUUUGCAAACCGUCCCUUAAUUCUUACUCUGCUUUCUGCCCGAGCCUUCCGCGACUCAUACCUAAUGUGCUUAUCAUACCUCCUUGUUUUCUUCUUUUCCUUGUACCGUGAAAUUGCAGAGUCCCUCUCCUGGCUGUUUAACUCAUGGGAUCCAACUUUAGAAAAAACUGAUAUCAUCCUAGUAGAGAGAGGAAAUUGCGGUUCCUCUUCUUCCCUUCCAUUGGCACGAUUCACACUUCCACCAAUAUUGGGCUGCUUGUCAGGAAGAACAGAACUUUCCUUACUUCUCAGUAAUGGAGAAGGAUCACAAACUUGAUUUCCAGCCUCACCAGUAUCACUAAUCCAGUGAAAUACAUUUUCCUCAUAAACAGGGAACGGAAUUGGCUUUGCAUCUGGCUCAAAACCUGUACAUAUAUCUUGCUCAUGGACAUUUAGUCCAGCAGCUGAUGGCUGGAACAAACUAAUAGCCUUACUUUCUGGGUUUUCACAAAUUGAGUCAGGUUCCAACCUUGCUAGUUCACGAAGCUGACGAAGUAUUUCUUCCUUAUGUUUCCCACAAACAGCAUUACGAUUCUGAUUUAAGAAUGAUGAUGUCCUAAACCAAGUCAGAAUCAAAACAGUUUUGUGGACAAUUUCAACAAUUCCUUAUCACCUACGAGCUCUCGUUUCAAAGGGGAGAAAAAGAAUUCAAUGGUAGCAAAUUUAAGUUAAGGGAAAAAAUGUUAUAGAAUAAUAAAAAAAAAAAAGUAUAAAAGCUCAUCAAUAAGCACAGCACAUUUUAGAAACAUGCUCUGCCCAUUUCAUCACAUUGCCUAAUUGAAGCUAUAGGCUUAUAGCGAUUUGCAUGUCACACAAAAACCAAAAAUCACCAUUAAAAUGAAAAAUGAAGGGGGGAACCACAAUCCAAAUAACUGAUUCAUACUAUAUUAUUAACAGGAAAAUCCACACCCCUAAUAUUAAUAAUAAUGGUAGUAGAUGUCAGUAAAAAAUCUCUCCAAAUUUUAUUUGAAAUCCAUUAAACACGUAUUGACGGUAAAUUUGAAAAUUUCUCAAAUCUGUAUUUCACAUUUACCUAAAUUAAAGCUAGUUGAUCACAAAAUCAAUAUUUGAAUUCCUUGUCCAUACCAAACAGCAUAGUGGUUUCAGAAUUGCAUUUCAUUUCCAUUUCCAAGCAAAUGAAACAGGCUCUGUAUUUUUAUUUUGUUGCUGAGAAAAACGCUGAUGUAUUUCAUGCAUUCAACCAAGGGAUCGCAGUGCAAACAUAUGGUAGUUUGAGGUCACGCGGAUGCGAGAACAAAAAACAACAGAAGUAUAGGCGGAGCUCGAACCUUUAAAGCUUAAAAUUGACUACAAAAAUAGGCUGAGCACAACAUAACUAGUUUGUCUAACUUAUUAAAGUUUAAUGGUAAUAUUUGAGAAGAAAAGGCAAAAAUUUGGAGGCCAAAAGCAUAAAAAGAAGCUGAAAGGGAACUUGCCUUGGGAAGAGGAGGAACCCCUAAGGCCUGAAAAUUUAGACCCGAAUCACUAGAAGCUAUCAAAUCGUCAAUGCUAACAACAGCAGGACUCUCCCAUAUCAAUAAAUCCGAAUACCCAUCUCCAAAACCCGAGUCAUCAAGCUUAGACUCCACUGAGCCAUUAUUUUCUUCACUUAAAAACAGAGGUUUCUUAUCACCAAGAUCUUCAAAGCCUAAAAUACUGAUCAACUCACUCAAUGAACGACACCCACUAAACCCCUCAAUAGGCCUCCGAUUGUGCACGGACGAUGAAAGACGGUGCCUUUCCCAGUCACAGUUUUGGCAGAAAACGUAGUGCUCAGUUUCACAAAAGAUAGAAGCAGGGGACUUGUCGCAGGCGUCACAUAGAAGAGAGCGAGUAUGCUUGCAGAAGAGCUGGUUUGUGGAGUGAACUUCACGGUCACAUGAGAUACAAAGCUUGGCUGAGUCAGCUCUGCAAUAGAGGAGAGCAGUGGUAUCGUUACAGUAAUCGCAGAGCCGUCUCUGCAUAUGUUGCUGUUGCUGGGGUUUCAUGGUUUGCUGGCCAUGUGGGGGUGUAUGAGAAUCACUCAUUUCUGGCUGCGAUAAUUUAAGUCUUAUCCUCAAAAGCUCUGUUAAAGUGUUGGUUGGCUAGGCUCAAAACGGAGCGUAAACAGGGCACAAUACCGCGCUGAAAAGUAUUCUUUUCUAAUUUCAAUCACAGAGAGAGAGAGAGAGAG
rnacentral:misc_RNA from 1 species